AGGCAGUUAGUUUAAAACAAAACAUUUGAUUUCGGCUCAAAAAACUGUGGUUAGACCCCAUAACUACCUU
rnacentral:tRNA from 1 species